CCUACGGGAGGCAGCAGUAGGGAAUAUUGCUCAAUGGGGGAAACCCUGAAGCAGCAACGCCGCGUGGAGGAUGAAGGUUUUCGGAUUGUAAACUCCUUUUGUUAGAGAAGAUAAUGACGGUAUCUAACGAAUAAGCACCGGCUAACUCCGUGCCAGCAGCCGCGGUAAUACGGAGGGUGCAAGCGUUACUCGGAAUCACUGGGCGUAAAGGGCGCGUAGGCGGGAUAGCAAGUCAGAUGUGAAAUCCUAUGGCUUAACCAUAGAACUGCAUUUGAAACUGUUAUUCUAGAGUAUGGGAGAGGUAGGUGGAAUUCUUGGUGUAGCGGUAAAAUCCGUAGAGAUCAAGAAGAAUACUCAUUGCGAAGGCGACCUGCUAGAACAUAACUGACGCUGAUGCGCGAAAGCGUGGGGAGCAAACAGGAUUAGAUACCCGAGUAGUC
rnacentral:rRNA from 1 species